CAGAAUCCCGCCUAGACGUGAUGAUACCGGAGCGCCGCGGACCUUCGGUUGGUCUCGGAUAGCCGGCCUCGGCCGGUGCGGAGAGCCUUUCGUGACGGGGCCGGGUGCGGCCGGAAGUCGGUCGCCCCACUCCCAUCUCGGAACUCACUUUCGUGGAGGACCUGGUGCUAAAUCACUUGCAGACGACCUGAUUCUGGGUCAGGGUUUCGUACGUAGCAGAGCAGCUUCACGCUGCGAUCU
rnacentral:rRNA from 2 species